rnacentral:rRNA from 1 species
AUACGUAGGUGGCGAGCGUUAUCCGGAAUUAUUGGGCGUAAAGAGCGCGCAGGUGGUUGAUUAAGUCUGAUGUGAAAGCCCACGGCUUAACCGUGGAAGGGUCAUUGGAAACUGGUCGACUUGAGUGCAGAAGAGGGAAGUGGAAUUCCAUGUGUAGCGGUGAAAUGCGUAGAGAUAUGGAGGAACACCAGUGGCGAAGGCGGCUUCCUGGUCUGUAACUGACGCUGAGGCGCGAAAGCGUGGGGAGC